UUUUUAUCUAGUUUAUAAAAAAUAAUAGUUUGUCAAAUUAUUGAUGCAAAUAUGCGAUUAAUGAGUAGCUUAUCUUAAAGCCUAGU
rnacentral:tRNA from 1 species